GAUGAACGCUGGCGGCGUGCCUAAUACAUGCAAGUCGAGCGCGAAGAUCAGGAGCUUGCUCCUGAGAUUUGAGCGGCGGACGGGUGAGUAACACGUAGGCAACCUACCCUUGAGAUUGGGAUAACUACCGGAAACGGUAGCUAAUACCGGAUACGACUUUUCCACACAAGUGGAACUGUUAAAAGGCGGAUUUAUCUGCCGCUCAUGGCUGGGCCUGCGGUGCAUUAGCUAGUUGGUGAGAUAGUAGCUCACCAAGGCGACGAUGCAUAGCCGACCUGAGAGGGUGAUCGGCCACACUGGGACUGAGACACGGCCCAGACUCCUACGGGAGGCAGCAGUAGGGAAUCUACCGCAAUGGACGAAAGUCUGACGGAGCAACGCCGCGUGAGUGAUGAAGGGUUUCGGCUCGUAAAACUCUGUUGUUAAGGAAGAACACUUGAGGUAGUAACUGGCCUUGAGAUGACGGUACUUAACCAGAAAGACACGGCUAACUACGUGCCAGCCGCCGCCGUAA
rnacentral:rRNA from 1 species